UGAGUGCGAGCUGCUACGGCAGCGAAGUUGGUGAUGUCAUGCUUCCAAGAAAAGCCCUAUACCCGUUAAGGCAUCAUGGCCUGUACCCGAAACCGACACAGGUGGGGUGGUAGAGAAUACCGAGGGGCGCGAGGUAACUCUCUCUAAGGAACUCGGCAAAAUGGCCCCGUAACUUCGGGAGAAGGGGUGCCACCGCAAGGUGGUCGCAGUGAAGAGGCCCAGGCGACUGUUUACCAAAAACACAGGUCUCCGCUAAGUCGCAAGACGAUGUAUGGGGGCUGACGCCUGCCCAGUGCCGGAAGGUUAAGGAAGCUGGUCAGCGCAAGCGAAGCUAGCGACUGAAGCCCCGGUGAACGGCGGCCGUAACUAUAACGGUCCUAAGGUAGCGAAAUUCCUUGUCGGGUAAGUUCCGACCCGCACGAAAGGCGUAACGAUCUGGGCGCUGUCUCGGAGAGAGGCUCGGCGAAAUAGAAUUGUCUGUGAAGAUGCGGACUACGUGCACCCGGACAGAAAGACCCUAUGAAGCUUUACUGUAGCUUGGUAUUGUGCCCGGGCUCGCAAUGCGCAGGAUAGGUGGGAGGCUUUGAUCAUCGGCUUGCGGGUCGAUGUGAGCCAACGGUGAGAUACCACUCUUUGCGAGCUAGGGUUCUAACGGCCACCCGUCAUCCGGGGGCCGGACAGUACCUGGUGGGCAGUUUGACUGGGGCGGUCGCCUCCUAAAAGGUAACGGAGGCGCGCAAAGGUUUGCUCAGGCUGGUUGGAAAUCAGCCGACGAGUGUAAAAGCAGAAGCAAGCUUGACUGUGAGACCAACAAGUCGAACAGGGAGGAAACUCGGCUUUAGUGAUCCGACGGUUCUGAGUGGAAGGGCCGUCGCUCAACGGAUAAAAGUUACUCUAAGGAUAACAGGCUGAUCUCCCCCAAGAGUUCACAUCGACGGGGAGGUUUGACACCUCGAUGUCGGCUCAUCGCAACCUGGGGCUGAAGUCGGUCCCAAGGGUUGGGCUGUUCGCCCAUUAAAGCGGUACGCGAGCUGGGUUCAGAACGUCGUGAGACAGUUCGGUCCAUAUCCGGUGCACGCGCAGGAAUAUUGAGAGGAUUUCUCCCUAGUACGAGAGGACCGGGAGGAACGCACCUCUGGUGUACCAGUUAUCGUGCCAACGGUAAACGCUGGGUAGCCAUGUGCGGAGUGGAUAACCGCUGAAAGCAUCUAAGUGGGAAGCCCACCUCAAGAUGAGUAUUCCCAUGGCGUAAGCCAGUAAGGUCACGGGAAGAACACCCGUUGAUAGGCUCUAUGUGGAAGCGCAGUAAUGCGUGAAGCAGAGGAGUACUAAUAGACCGAGGGC
rnacentral:rRNA from 1 species